rnacentral:rRNA from 1 species
UACGUAGGGUGCAAGCGUUGUCCGGAAUUAUUGGGCGUAAAGAGCUCGUAGGCGGUUUGUCGCGUCUGCUGUGAAAACUGGAGGCUCAACCUCCAGCCUGCAGUGGGUACGGGCAGACUAGAGUGCGGUAGGGGAGAUUGGAAUUCCUGGUGUAGCGGUGGAAUGCGCAGAUAUCAGGAGGAACACCAAUGGCGAAGGCGGCGGCCUGGACAGAACCUGACGCUGAGGCACGAAAGCUGGGGGAGCGAACAGG